UCUCUCCCUUCUCUGUUCUUCUCAUAGUCUCUCGUUUUCGAAGCUAGCUACCAGCCAACCAAUCGUCACCAUGUCUGAUGAGGAGCAUCAUUUUGAGUCCAAGGCCGAUGCUGGAGCCUCCAAGACCUAUCCUCAACAAGCUGGUACCAUUCGCAAGAAUGGCUACAUCGUUAUCAAGAAUCGUCCCUGCAAGGUUGUGGAGGUUUCAACAUCAAAGACAGGGAAGCACGGUCAUGCUAAGUGCCACUUCGUUGGAAUUGAUAUAUUCAAUGCAAAAAAACUUGAAGAUAUUGUUCCUUCAUCCCACAAUUGUGAUGUAAUACAUAUAUACCAUUCUUUACUUAUUUUGCUUCCUUUAUUUAUGUUUUUGUAAUUUACAACUAAGUCCUUGAGUGUAUCAAAAUCUGCAAGUUAGUUCUUGGUUUGUUUUUGAGUUACGAUUUGGUCCUUAAAUUUAGAUUCCGUUGACAAAUUAGUCUAUGCCGUUAACUACUUUUCAAUUUGAAACAAUUUAGUCCUUGAAAUUUUGUUAAUAAAACAAAACCUUAGGGAUUAAAUUGUUUUAAAUUGAAAAACAAUUAAUGGAGUUAAUGGUGAAUUUAGACAGUAGAGACUAAUUUGUUAACAAAAUUAAAUUUUGAGGACCAAAUUGUUAAUAAAAAAAAUAUAUUAGAGACUAAUCUGUGAGUUUUCUAUACUUGACGGACUUAAUUGUAAAUUACUCUUCAUGUUUUUAGUUUUCACGAAAAAUUACUUGGCUGGUUGAUCUUCCACUUCUAUUGUUUUUUUGUGUUUCACAGGCUCCCCAUGUUAAUCGUACUGAUUAUCAGCUGAUUGAUAUCUCUGAAGAUGGUUUUGUGAGUCUUCUGACUGAAAGUGGAAACACCAAGGAUGAUCUCAGGCUUCCCACCGAUGAAAAUCUGCUCAGCCAGAUUAAAGAUGGGUUUGCUGAGGGGAAGGACCUUGUGGUGACCGUCAUGUCUGCAAUGGGAGAGGAGCAGAUCUGUGCCCUGAAGGACAUUGGUCCUAAAAAUUAAACAUGAUGCUAUAGCAUUAGCUGUAGCUGAUGGUGAAAUACAGUCUUUAUGUUUGCUAACAAGGGAAGGAAUUUUUAUCUAUUAUGAACAUGCACAACAAACUUUUAUUAAGAAGGUAUUUUAGCUGUAUAAUCAAGACUAAUAAGAUUUGUAAUGGAGGUGGGGAAGGGAACAGAAGCUGCUCAUUUCCUGAUGGAAGGAACUUUGUGUUUCUGUAGGAUGGAAUAUAUAAAAAUAUAUCUGUUUUAUAUAUUUUAUGGUACUUUGAGAUAAAUAAAGGUAUGUGUCAAGUCUGCCUACAUAUGCUCCCUGGAUAAAUGUUCUCUCUAAAAGAGUACUGAUGUUUAUAAUUAUUAUUACUUGAUAGAGAUGUCUUAUGCUAAGAUUCAAUAUGGCAAAGCAAACUAAAUUAUGCACAUCGUGUGGUGAGAGUGUUCGUGAGUGGGUUAUAUAGGAUCAAGGAUUUUGUUAAAAUUGUCAUGGUUUGCGCAUCGGUCUAGUUCUGUCCCUAAUUGGUGUUCAUGUAUUCUUUACCUUAAGCAGAGAAAAAAAGAAAACAGUUUGAGUGAAAACAAAGGAGAGGUGAGAGUUCACGGGGUGAUCCUGGUUGAGGUCGGCGAGUGAGUCGGGCAUGUCCAGGGAUUAGUCCUUCAAGACCUCACAUCGUGUGGUGAGGUCUGCGAGUGAGUUGAGAGUGCUUAGGAGUUGGUUCUUCGGGAUCUCACAUCGUGUGGUAAGAGUAUGCGUGAGUGGGUUAUAUAGGACAAAAUUAUUAAAAUUAUCAUGGUUUUAAUAGCAAUCUAGUUUUGUCUUUAAUAUGUGUUGGUGUAUUUUUUACCUUUGAC
rnacentral:misc_RNA from 1 species